GAUGAACGCUGGCGGCGUGCCUAAUACAUGCAAGUCGAACGGAAAGGCCUCUUCGGAGGUACUCGAGUGGCGGACGGCUGAGUAACGCGUAGGAACGUACCCCAAACUGAGGGAUAACUGCUCGAAAGAGUAGCUAAUACCGCAUGUGCUCUACGGAGUAAAGCUUCGGCGGUUUGGGAACGGCCUGCGUAUGAUUAGCUAGUUGGUGAGGUAAUGGCUCACCAAGGCGACGAUCAUUAGCUGGUCUGAGAGGAUGAUCAGCCAGACUGGGACUGGGACACGGCCCAGACUCCUACGGGAGGCAGCAGUAGGGAAUUUUCCACAAUGGGGGCAACCCUGAUGGAGCAACGCCGCGUGCAGGAUGAAGGCUUUCGGGUCGUAAACCGCUUUUAUAUGUGACGAUUUUGACGGUAGCAUAUGAAUAAGGAUCGGCUAACUCCGUGCCAGCCGCCGCAGUAA
rnacentral:rRNA from 1 species